ensembl:miRNA gmo-mir-11264 gmo-mir-11264
CAGGGUACAUUUAGCAGACUGUGAUGGUGACGGUCAGUCUGCUACCUGGGACCCUGUA